UCACUGUAGGGGACUGGCUGUUUGGUCACAUUGCUGACAUCUUGGGGUCACAAUACUGACUGGGUCUCUUCACUCCUUACCAUUGCUCACACUGCCAGUUCAGGAAAUGCUUGAAUUCAAAAUUUAAAAUUUGAGGCGGGUUUCCACCAGAUGCUUAUAUAUUCACAACAAUAUAAAGUUGAAAAUUCCGAGUUGAACCUCCCUAAGACAUUGUCCACACUCAUUACCAAUGGCAUUUGUAGUCGUCUCCUGAGGACUGGCUGACUCUGGCCUGCCUAGAGUCACACAGGGGACCUAUCAGCAUCCUAAGAAGCCGUGGAUCCUGAGCCCUCCAUGACAAUUAUGCUUGACUUGUAUGCUUGCUUGUUUGUAAGAGGCCCAAAGCGAGUUCUGUGAUGUCAUGCUUAGAGAUACCAUGGGGCAGAUCUCAAAGUAAAUCAAUGGAACUUUGCUGAACCUCCCCAAGAGAGGAAUCGGAAGAACCAGCCCAGGCUUAGGAUGCAGAGUAGCUACCGCUCUUUCUUUCCUUUAGUCCUACAGGGACCACGGAAAGAAGAAUGGAAUGUUGGGAAUUAAUUUGCUCUCCAGCCUGCAGGUUGUCACUCCUGUUUGUUUUGAAUCCCUCCAGCAGGUGCGGGGUAAAUCAGGCAGGAUCUGAAUUCAGGGCAGUGAACAGCAGUCAAUAAGCCCAACUUCUUCAUGGGGUGAGAAAAUGGCCAACCUUCCAAUGAACAUGGGCUGCAUUGGGACUAAGACAACAGGGAGGGCCUUGGCUUCCCAGCAAAUGGCUUCCUUUACACACCCUGAGAAAAGGAGCCUGGACUAGUUUCCUGGAUCCCCAGUCCCAAACCACUGCCUACUGUACUUAGCACUUGCCCAGGCCUCCUGAGGGCAAGGCAGGGCACACCACAGAUGCCUCUCCAAAGGGAAUCAGCACUCUCCAUUGCUGACCACAGCAAGCUGUGGGGCAGUGCCACAGACAACAGCACAUUGCAGCUCACUCAUAAAACAGAUUUUUGACUGCUGACAAAAAGCAGAGUGGAGCCCAGUCAGGCAAAAGGGGGACUGUGAAUGUUCAUUAUUACCAACGACUAAAACACAAAUAGAUGAGUAUAGGGUGUACUGUGAUCCCACUGCAGGACUCUUAGAUGACUCAAAGAAACUAUGUCAAAACAGCUGUGGGCUGGGGGUGUGGCUUGGUUGGUAGAGUGCAUGACUUAAGCCAAGUUCAACACCCAGAACCACAUAAAGCUCAUAAAGCUGGGUAUAAUAGUGCAUGAAGGCCAACAGUCUAGAGAGAGAGGCAGGAGGAUCAGGAAUUCAGAUUCAUUUGCCUCAGCUACACAAUGAGUUCAAGGCCUGUCUCAAAAGAGCCUACACCGAUAUGUAAUACCAGUCAUUAUGUAUAAACAGUUUGCUUUCUUGAAUCCCACUGGUUGUUUUGAUUGAGUGGAGUCAAUCAACAGCAGCCAUGGAGGUAAAGCUGGAAGAGUUCUUGGCAAGACUUAGGGCAAGCACACUCCCAUUUAAGGGAGGAAGGUGGCCUUUCUGAUGUCCCAGGGCUGCAGUAGCCAAGAGGCAUGAGAAUACAAAGGACUGGACCAGGUUUCUUGCUUUCUCUCUGGGGACCUAAGAACAGGGCAGGUCAUCCAAAUACUACCUGUUAUGGUUUGUAUAAGCUUGGCCUAGGGAGUGGAAUGAUUAGAAGGUGUGGCUCUGUUGGAGUAGGUGUGGUCCAGUUGGGGUAGGUGUGGCCUUGUUGGAGCAGGUGUGUCACUGUGGGUGUGGGCUUUAAGACCCUCAUCCUAGCUCCCUGGAAACCAGUAUUCUGCUAGCAGCCUUCAGAUGAAGAUGUAGAACUCUCAGCUCCUCCUGCACCAUGCCUGCCUGGGUGCUGCCGUGUUCCCACCUUCAUGAUAAUGGACUGAACCUCUGAACCUGUAAGUCAGCCCCAAUUAAAUGUUGUUCCUUAUAAAACUUGCCUAGGUCAUAGUGUCUGUUCACAGCAGUAAAACCCUAACUAAGACACUACCCAAAUACUGUGCCCAUGCCCAUGCCCAUGCCCAGGACUGCCUGUUAGCUCAGAGGUCCUUUACUCUGGGAAUGUCUUGCUUUGAGGUCAUAAUAGGAAGCCAGCCUCAGGGGUGAGAGAUCUCCAGCUUUCUUCAUCUGGAAAUCAGGGCACUGGCCUCCCACAGUACACAGACUCCAAGGGAGUGAUUACUGGGGCCAGGGGUGGAUACCCUGUAUCCAGCUCCAGAGGGGCUAGACUAAAUAUACCCGGCUUUUCCCACCACUGUGCUUCCUGAUCCUGCUGAGAGCAAGCCUGGGAGAGGAGAGGCCGGCAUUCUGGAGUCUGGAAGUACUCACUAGUCUAAGACUAACCGUCCAAGAACUCCCCCUCGAAAACCCCAACCAACAGCGUGACUUCAGCUCAAGAACAAACGCAACAUUCUGAAAAACUUUGGAGAAAAUUCAGUGCCCACGGGUUGAAGUAGCUCGUUGUGUCGUAUGCCCACCUGGUCCAGAACAAUAAGCAGUACCAGCUGCUCCCUAAACAUAAGCCAGAAAAGCCCUCAGCUCCUCCUGGACCUGGGAGGAAGAGCCUUCCACAGCCUUCGUCCAGGAGGCUGGUCCUGGCUGCAUUGUCUCUUGGUUUACUCUAACAAAUUUCCUUCUUUCUCCCUCUACUAUCUUUCCACAACCUUCUAUGAGUUUAGUAGGCAAAAUAACACGAUUCUGAAUUUCUUACAAACAUCAUCACCCCCAUCCCCACCCCUGGACAACGUAUGCUGGCCAGCCUGCUGCUCUCCAAUGCCCUGAGUUUAUGGAUCUGAAAGUGUGUUCAAUGAACAUGCCUGGCUUCA